GGAACAAAGGUCUGAUCUCGAGCUCCAUCUGCCUCAUCUGACUCUGGUCCUCCAGGACAGCCUACAGGGACACAGAAGGAACGGCAGGGCUCUGUCUGAUGGGCGAUUAGACUGAUCUCAGACGACAGUGACCAUUUAUGGAGCAGAUACUGUGUGCCAUGCACUGUGCUAAGUGUUUUACAUGAGCCAGCUUCUGUGGGCCUCACAGCAAUUCUAAGAGAUCAUCGCUGGGGGAGAAGCUUCCGUUGGAUUCUCUGAGAAGAACCUGCUCCUGCCCCUUGGAGCCCAGGAGGAGGGGGCCUCCAGGCACCAAAGUACUACCAGAAUUUUGUGAUGGAUAAAGAAAACGAGGGUCGAGCCAGGCAGAACACUCUGAGAGGGUCCUCCUCCUCAGAGGGUCCUGCUCAUCCCAGCUCCCAGCACACCUCAUUCCUGCCGUGUACAGCACCACCCUGAUGAGAACCACCCCCCAGCA